CUGCUUUGGCAACACAUAUACUAAAAUUGGAAUGAUACAGAGAAUGUUGUCAGGAUCCAUGUGUAAUGAUGAUAUGCAAAUUUGUGAAACAUUCAAUUAAAAA
rnacentral:snRNA from 1 species